AUGAACGCUGGCGGCGUGCCUAAUACAUGCCAGUCGAGCGAACAGACGAGGAGCUUGCUCCUCUGACGUUAGCGGCGGACGGGUGAGUAACACGUGGAUAACCUACCUAUAAGACUGGGAUAACUUCGGGAAACCGGAGCUAAUACCGGAUAAUAUAUUGAACCGCAUGGUUCAAUAGUGAAAGACGGUUUUGCUGUCACUUAUAGAUGGAUCCGCGCCGCAUUAGCUAGUUGGUAAGGUAACGGCUUACCAAGGCAACGAUGCGUAGCCGACCUGAGAGGGUGAUCGGCCACACUGGAACUGAGAUACGGUCCAGACUCCUACGGGAGGCAGCAGUAGGGAAUCUUCCGCAAUGGGCGAAAGCCUGACGGAGCAACGCCGCGUGAGUGAUGAAGGUCUUCGGAUCGUAAAACUCUGUUAUUAGGGAAGAACAAAUGUGUAAGUAACUAUGCACGUCUUGACGGUACCUAAUCAGAAAGCCACGGCUAACUACGUG
rnacentral:rRNA from 1 species